rnacentral:rRNA from 1 species
ACGGAAGGCAGCAGUGGGGAAUAUUGGACAAUGGGGGAAACCCUGAUCCAGCGACGCCGCGUGAGUGAAGAAGUAUUUCGGUAUGUAAAGCUCUAUCAGCAAGGAAGAAAAUGACGGUACUUGUCUAAGAAGCUCCGGCUAAAUACGUGCCAGCAGCCGCGGUAAUACGUAUGGAGCAAGCGUUAUCCGGAUUUACUGGGUGUAAAGGGAGCGUAGACGGUAAAGCAAGUCUGAAGUGAAAUCCCGGGGCUCAACCCCGGAACUGCUUUGGAAACUGUUUAACUAGAGUGCAGGAGAGGUAAGCGGAAUUCCUAGUGUAGCGGUGAAAUGCGUAGAUAUUAGGAGGAACACCAGUGGCGAAGGCGGCUUACUGGACUGUAACUGACGUUGAGGCUCGAAAGCGUGGGGAGCAAACAGGAUUAGAUACCCUGGUA